AGCUCCAAUAGCGUAUAUUAAAGUUGCUGCGGUUAAAAAGCUCGUAGUUGGAUCUCAGUCUCGGGCCGGCGGUGCACCUCGCGGUGUUCAACUGCCGAGCCCAGGCCUGAACUUGUGAUGAAUCCCGGGCCCUGCCCCGGGUGCCCUUCGCCGGGUGCCCGGGUCGCAGCCGGUGCGUUUACUUUGAAAAAAUUGGAGUGCUCAAAGCAGGCUAGCAGCCUGAACAGUCGUGCAUGGAAUAAUGGAAGAGGGCCGCGUCGGCACUUUUGUUGGUAUCUAGCCGAGCGUGGUAAUGGUUGAAGGGGACUGCCGGGGGCAUUCGUAUUGCGACGUUAGAGGUGAAAUUCUUAGAUCGUCGCAAGACGGACUACUGCGAAAGCAUUUGCCAAGAAUGUUUUCA
rnacentral:rRNA from 1 species